rnacentral:rRNA from 1 species
GUAGGGAAUAUUGGUCAAUGGACGAAAGUCUGAACCAGCCAUUCCGCGUGCAGGAAGAAGAUUCUAUGGAUUGUAAACUGCUUUUAGCAGAGAAGAAACGCCUUCAUUGAUGAGGGUUUGACGGUAUCUGCGGAAUAAGCACCGGCUAACUCCGUGCCAGCAGCCGCGGUAAUACGGGGGGUGCAAGCGUUAUCCGGAAUCACUGGGUUUAAAGGGUGCGUAGGCGGGAAAUUAAGUCAGUGGUGAAAGUCUGUUGCUUAACGAUAGAAUUGCCGUUGAUACUGAUUUUCUUGAAUUGGGUUGAGGUUAGCGGAAUGUGACAUGUAGCGGUGAAAUGCAUAGAUAUGUCAUGGAACACCAAUUGCGAAGGCAGCUAGCUGGGACUUGAUUGACGCUGAGGCACGAAAGCGUGGGUAGCGAACAGGAUUAGAUACCCGGGUAGUCC